rnacentral:rRNA from 1 species
UACAGAGGUCUCAAGCGUUGUUCGGAUUCAUUGGGCGUAAAGGGUGCGUAGGUGGCGCUGUAAGUCGGGUGUGAAAUUUCGGAGCUUAACUCCGAAACUGCAUUCGAUACUGCGGUGCUUGAGGACUGGAGAGGAGACUGGAAUUCAUGGUGUAGCAGUGAAAUGCGUAGAGAUCGUAAGGAAGACCAGUGGUGAAGGCGGGUCUCUGGACAGUUCCUGACACUGAGGCACGAAGGCCAGGGGAGCAAACGGG